rnacentral:rRNA from 1 species
UACGAAGGGGGCUAGCGUUGUUCGGAAUCACUGGGCGUAAAGCGUAUGCAGGCGGAUCGCUAAGUCAGGGGUGAAAUCCCGAGGCUCAACCUCGGAACUGCCUUUGAUACUGACGAUCUUGAGUCCGGGAGAGGUGAGUGGAACUGCGAGUGUAGAGGUGAAAUUCGUAGAUAUUCGCAAGAACACCAGUGGCGAAGGCGGCUCACUGG